rnacentral:rRNA from 1 species
UGUCUUAUGAAAUAAAUAUAAGAUAACGCCUGCCCAGUGACACAAGUGUUCAACGGCCGCGGUAUCCUAACCGUGCAAAGGUAGCAUAAUCACUUGCCUAUUAAUUGUAGGCUAGAAUGAACGGGUUAACGAAAUAAAAACUGUCUCAAUUAACCACCUAAAAAUUACUAUUCACCUGAAGAAUGGUGAAUACUCUCGAAGGACAAGAAGACCCUAUAGAGCUUAAUUUAAAUUAUAGGCAUACUAUAAAAUUAUUCGGUUGGGGCGACCCUGGGCUAAAUAAUCACCCUAAAAAUAAAAGAUUUAUUAAUCAAGUAAUUGACCCUUAUAAGAUCACAAAAACAAGCUACCUUAGGGAUAACAGGCUAAUCCCACUCAAGAGUCCUUAUCAACAGUGGGGUUUGGCACCUCGAUGUUGGCUUAGGGUAUCUAUAUAGCGCAAAAGUUAUAUAAAGAUGGUUUGUUCAACCAAUAAUUUCCCU